rnacentral:tRNA from 1 species
GUUCCGGGUAGCCUAGUGGACAUGGCAUCUGCCCGGUAAGCGGAACACUGUGGGUUCGAUUCCCAUCCCUGGACA